rfam:Myotis lucifugus cont2.22310, whole genome shotgun sequence.
GGUGGUUCUCAGGUGACACACCCCGGAAUUGGGCUCCCUCCUCUCUGGUUCCGGAGUGCAUCACCCAAGAACUGCU